AUUGAACGCUGGCGGAAUGCUUUACACAUGCAAGUUGAACGGCAGCACGGACUUCGGUCUGGUGGCGAGUGGCGAACGGGUGAGUAAUACAUCGGAACGUGCCCAGUCGUGGGGGAUAACGUAGCGAAAGCUACGCUAAUACCGCAUACGAUCUAAGGAUGAAAGCGGGGGAUCGCAAGACCUCGCGCGAUUGGAGCGGCCGAUGGCAGAUUAGGUAGUUGGUGGGGUAAAGGCUCACCAAGCCGACGAUCUGUAGCUGGUCUGAGAGGACGACCAGCCACACUGGGACUGAGACAAGGCCCAGACUCCUACGGGAGGCAGCAGUGGGGAAUUUUGGACAAUGGGCGCAAGCCUGAUCCAGCCAUUCCGCGUGCAGGAUGAAGGCCCUCGGGUUGUAAACUGCUUUUGUACGGAACGAAAAGGCUCUGGUUAAUACCUGGGGCUCAUGACGGUACCGUAAGAAUAAGCACCGGCUAACUACGUGCCAGCCGCCGCGGUAA
rnacentral:rRNA from 1 species